rnacentral:rRNA from 1 species
UUGGAGGGCAAGUCUGGUGCCAGCAGCCGCGGUAAUUCCAGCUCCAAUAGCGUAUAUUAAAGUUGUUGCAGUUAAAAAGCUCGUAGUUGAAUUUCGGGGUUAGUAGGCUGGUCAUGCCACCGGUAUGUACUGGUCUUUCUGAUUCCUCCUUCCUGAUGAACUGUAAUGCCAUUAAUUUGGUGUUGCAGGGAAUCUGGACUGUUACUUUGAAAAAAUUAGAGUGUUUAAAGCAGGCUAACGCUUGAAUACAUAGCAUGGAAUAAUGAAAUAGGACGCUCGAUCCUAUUUUGUUGGUUUCUAGGAUUGACGUAAUGAUUAAUAGGGAUAGUUGGGGGCAUUAGUAUUCAAUUGUCAGAGGUGAAAUUCUUGGAUUUAUUGAAGACUAACUACUGCGAAAGCAUUUGCCAAGGAUGUUUUCAUUAAUCAAGAACGAAAGUUAGGGGAUCGAAGACGAUCAGAUACCGUCGUAGUCUUAACCAUAAACUAUGCCGACUAGGGAUCGGAUGAUGUUAAUUUUUUAAUGACUCAUUCGGCGCCUUACGGGAAAC